GACGAACGCUGGCGGCGUGCUUAACACAUGCAAGUCGAGCGGUAAGGCCCUUUCGGGGGUACACGAGCGGCGAACGGGUGAGUAACACGUGGGUGACCUGCCCUCAGCUCUGGGAUAAGCCUGGGAAACCGGGUCUAAUACUGGAUAUGACUCCAUGACGCAUGUUGUGGGGUGGAAAGCCUUGUGCGGCUGAGGAUCGGGCCCGCGGCCUAUCAGCUUGUUGGUGGGGUGAUGGCCUACCAAGGCGACGACGGGUAGCCGGCCUGAGAGGGCGACCGGCCACACUGGGACUGAGACACGGCCCAGACUCCUACGGGAGGCAGCAGUGGGGAAUCUUGCGCAAUGGGCGAAAGCCUGACGCAGCGACGCCGCGUGAGGGAUGACGGCCU
rnacentral:rRNA from 1 species